AUGGUCCAGGAACUUGCUGAGUUCUUCCUCUCCAUGGCUCCAAAUUGUGAAGGUGUCAUCUACGUAUCUGAACCAAACAGUUGGAGCCAUGGAGAGGAAGAACUCAGCAAGUUCCUGGACCAUCUUAACAGCAUCCACCCAAACAUCCAAUUCACCAUGGAAAAAGAAAAGGAAGGAAAACUGCCAUUUCUAGAUGUUCUGGUCAUCCGCAAACCCAAUCAACAAUUGGGCCACACAGUUUACAGAAAACCUACACACACAGAUAGAUACCUUCAUAAAAACUCCAACCAUCACCCAAGUCAAAAAAGGAGCACAAUCAAAGCCCUGACAGACCGUGCACAAAGAAUCUGCGAACCUCACCUCCUCCAAGGUGAACUCAACCACCUAAACUGGGCUCUACAGGCCAAUGGAUACUCCACCACAGACAUCAGAAGAGCUGCAAGGCCAAGAACAAGCCAUGAGAGUCAAGACAAAGAUCCACCCAGAGGAAAGGUGUCCUUACCAUACAUCAAGGGAACUACUGACCGCAUAGGGAAGCUGAUGAAGAAGCACAACCUACAAACUAUCUACAGACCCACGAAGAAAAUCCAACAAAUGCUACGGUCAGCGAAGGACAAGAGGGAUCCUCUCUCUUCUGCAGGAGUCUACCAUGCAGCUGUGGACAAGUCUACAUAGGGACCACCAAACGCAGCGCCCAAACAAGAGUCAAAGAACAUGAAAGGCACUGCAGACUAAUUCAACCAGAGAAAUCAGCCAUAGCAGAGCAUUUGAUGAACCAGCCUGGACACAGAAUACUAUUUGAGAACACAAAAAUGCUGGACCAUUCUAACAACUAUCAUGUCAGACUACACAGAGAAGCCAUUGAAAUCCACAAGCAUGUGGACAACUUCAACAGAAAGGAAGAAACCAUGAAAAUGAACAAAAUCUGGCUACCAGUAUUACAAAACUCAAAAAUCAGAACAGUAAAUAAAAAGCAAUACUCUGAAAACAGAGGAUUUCCAGACAUGAAUCAACCAAGGGCAGUUAACGACUCUAAACAAAGGAUGCCCCAGAGGCAGGAAGAAGACAGCAGAUAAGCUUUUCAAUGCUAAUUAAAGUGAUUAACUACACAACAUUCAUACUGACCUCUCUCACCCUAGACUUUCCACAGAUAUAUAUUAACCUCUUUGCUUAGUUUUCUCCAUACCUCACAACCUCUGAGGAUGCCUGCCAUAGAUGUGGGCGAAACGUCAGGAGAGAAUGCUUCUGGAACAUGGACACACAGCCCGAAAGACAUACAACAACACCAUAAUGACUCUCUUUGUAGAAGACAUCUUUUAACAUCUGCAUUUGGUCUGGGCGAUACUUUUUCCAAAGCACAAAAUUUAAAGCUGUGGUACACAUGAGCUUUUUCAUUAAAAUGUACAUACAAUGACGAGUCAGUGGACCCAUUCCUUAUGCAGGAACAAUGUUCACUUAUCCUGAUUUUCAGGGGUCUGGUGGUCAUCCCAAUAUAUAACAGUUUACAGGGGCAUAGUAUUAAGUAAACUACAUUAUCGGUGGAACAUGUCAAAUGCUGCAAUGUGAUAUUAAUAUGUGUUGGAUGUGAAUAUAUUUUGCUCUUAAAUAACUGAAAACAACAGUCGCAGUGGUCACAGCUAGUGUGACCCUUAAUGUUCAGUUUAUGGGAUGUAUUAGAAGAGUUGUAUUCUGAAUGGAUCAUAAGAUCUCUUGAGUUUUUGGAUCUUUUGUGAGCAUUAAUUGGUUUGCUUUGGUAUCAGGGGUGUCUUGUAAUAGAUGCCAGUGUCUUGAGAUAAUCUUUUUUUUUUUGCAAGUUCUGUGCAUGCCUGGGUAUGAGGAAGCAGCUCUGUUCCUGACUCUCCAGAGAUACAAAUGGAAAUAAAGUCCAGAGCCUGAGAUAAUCACUAAUUUAGCAGUCAGUUAAUAGAUAAAUAUAUGUGGGAGGCCCCCGCUGCCGACAAACUUUCUCUACAGUAGAAAAAUUGGGGGAAAGAGACUUUAAUAAGCAAGAUAAGCAAGAAUAAAACUGUAAAGACAGCCAAAAAUGGCAUCCAAACGGGAGCUGCAAAACAUUCAACAAAUGAUUGUAGAGCUAUUAGAGUCCUUGAAUCCAAAAGUUGAUAUGCUACUGAAACAAAUGAAGACAAUACAACAAGAUAAUAAAUUAAUUAAAAAACUUAAACAGACUGAGAAAAGAAUGCAGCAAAAUCAGGAUGAAAUUGGAGCUUUAAGACUUAAAGUGGCUGAGCUAUCAGAUAGACAAAGGAGAAAAAACUUAAGACUGGCCGGUUUCCCAGAACAAAUACCUGCAGAAAACUUACAAGUGGAAAUAAUAUCAUGGCUUCAAGGUUUAAACAUGGAAAUAGUGCAAACUCAAAUUGAAAGAGUCCACAGAGCCUUUCAUUACACAAAAAGGGGAGGCGUAAGAGAUAUCAUAAUGGCCUUCACCACAGAAAGUAAAAGAGAUGAAGUGUUUAAACUUCUUAAAAGAAAGAGACUUAACAUACAAAGGGAAAAGAAUAAUUCCAAAACAUGACUUGUCUCCAGAAUCCUUGAAGAUAAAAGCUCUCA
ensembl:lncRNA